rnacentral:rRNA from 1 species
UGGGGAAUUUUGGACAAUGGGCGCAAGCCUGAUCCAGCCAUGCCGCGUGCGGGAAGAAGGCCUUCGGGUUGUAAACCGCCUUUGUCAGGGAAGAAAUCUUCUGAGUUAAUACCUCGGGAGGAUGACGGUACCUGAAGAAUAAGCACCGGCUAACUACGUGCCAGCAGCCGCGGUAAUACGUAGGGUGCAAGCGUUAAUCGGAAUUACUGGGCGUAAAGCGUGCGCAGGCGGUUUUGUAAGACAGAGGUGAAAUCCCCGGGCUCAACCUGGGAACUGCCUUUGUGACUGCAAGGCUUGAGUGCGGCAGAGGGGGAUGGAAUUCCGCGUGUAGCAGUGAAAUGCGUAGAUAUGCGGAGGAACACCGAUGGCGAAGGCAGUCCCCUGGGCCUGCACUGACGCUCAUGCACGAAAGCGUGGGGAGCAAACAGGAUUAGAUACCCUGGUAGUCCACGCCCUAAACGAUGUCAACUGGUUGUUGGGAAGGUUCCUUCUCAGUAACGUAGCUAACGCGUGAAGUUGACCGCCUGGGGAGUACGGCCGCAAGGUUGAAACUCAAAUGAAUUGACGGGGUCAUAGCUGUUUCCUG